rnacentral:rRNA from 1 species
GACGAACGCUGGCGGCGUGCUUAACACAUGCAAGUCGAACGAUGAAGAAGAGACACGCGAACUUCGGUUCAACUUUCACUUCGGAUUAGUGGCAGACGGGUGAGUAACGCGUGAGCAACCUACCUCUUACAAAGGGAUAGCCUCGGGAAACCGUGAUUAAUACCAUAUGACACAUUCAUAAGGCAUCUUAAGAAUGUUAAAGCUACGGCGGUAAGAGAUGGGCUCGCGUCCCAUUAGCUAGUUGGUGAGGUAACGGCCCACCAAGGCGACGAUGGGUAACCGGCCUGAGAGGGUGAACGGUCACAUUGGAACUGAGACACGGUCCAAACUCCUACGGGAAGCAGCAGUGGGGAAUAUUGCACAAUGGAGGGAACUCUGAUGCAGCGACGCCGCGUGGGCGAUGAAGGAAUUCGUUUCGUAAAGCUCUGUUCUAUGGGAAGAAAAGGACUGUACCAUAGGAGAAAGCCCCGGCUAAAUACGUG